UGUGUAGGCGGUUCUUUAAGUUUGGUGUGAAAUCUCCCGGCUCAACCGGGAGGGUGCGCCGAAUACUGAGGGACUCGAGUGCGGGAGAGGAAAGUGGAAUUCCUGGUGUAGCGGUGAAAUGCGUAGAUAUCAGGAGGAACACCGGUGGUGUAGACGGCUUUCUGGACCGUAACUGACGCUGAAACACGAAAGCGUGGGUAGCAAACA
rnacentral:rRNA from 1 species